GCCGAGGUGGUGGAACUGGUAGACACGCUACUUUGAGGGGGUAGUGAGGGUUACCUCGUGCGGGUUCAAGUCCCGCCCCCGGCA
rnacentral:tRNA from 1 species